rnacentral:rRNA from 1 species
GACGAACGCUGGCGGCGUGCUUAACACAUGCCAGUCGAACGGAAAGGCCCUGCUUUUGUGGGGUGCUCGAGUGGCGAACGCGUGCGUAACACGUGAGUAACCUGCCCUUGACUUUGGGAUAACUUCAGGAAACUGGGGCUACUACCGGAUAGGAUCUCCUGCUGCAUGGUGGGGGUUGGAACGUUUCGGCGGUUGGGGAUGGACUCGCGGCUUAUCAGCUUGUUGGUGGGGUAGUGGCUUACCAAGGCUUUGACGGGUAGCCGGCCUGUGAGGGUGACCGGGCACAAUGGGACUGAGAGACGGACCAGAGGGCAACGGGAGGCAGCAGGGGGGAAUAUUGCACAAUGGGCGGAAGUCUGAUGCAGAAACGCCGGGGGCGGGAUGACGGCCUUCGGGUUGUAAAAAGCAGUCGCCUGUGACGAAGCGGGAGUGACGGUAAUGGGUAAAGAAGCACCGGCUAACUACGUG